UUAACAGCAAAGGCGAAACAUUCUCCAAGUUUCUCUUUCCGUGGCCUAUCGUGAAAAUGCUAAGAUACGGAGACAAAAUUUAACUAGAGCUGGGAAGGCAAGAUAACCCCACAGCUGAAAGACUAGAUGUCUCUCUGGGGGACCAGCUCUGCUCCACGGCCCGCUGGAAGGAGGAGAGGUCUCGAGGGGACAAGGGACAGGACUUCAGCCCCACAGGAGCGCUCUGCUCACCCGCUCAGCAGGAAGAAGAUGGGUGAUUGCUCAUUGCCACAGGAUGCAAACAAAAACUAGCUUCUUACUUCAUCCAUCCUAGACUCCCUUCCCAGCUCACUCCUUCGCCCUGGGCUGGCAAGGCAGCCACCUAGACCUGGGCGCUGUGGGUGUUUGAUCCCCUUUGAGCCUCGAUAAUUAUUUGAAAGGUUCGUGUCAAAUCCCAGUCUCAGGUGAUGAAAUCACUCAUUCCCAUUUGUAAAAUAAAACUAUUCCUGGUAGCUUUUUACAGCCUCGAUUAAAAGAUAGAAGUCAGCUA